GACUGGUCUGAAGGUAGUGAGUUUUCUCAGUUGAUUGUUUGCAGUCAGUUACAGAUUGAAGUCCUUGUUCUACUCUUUCCCUCUUCUCACUACUGUACUUGACUAGUCUUUA
ensembl:Y_RNA Y_RNA Y RNA